UCUUAUAUUAAUUUUUAAAUUUGAAAAAAAGUAAAUUGUCAUGACUUUUUAGUUUCAAGGAAUGAUAUUUUAAGUUUGGUUAAGAAGAUCACUUCACAAGGCUGUGUUUACUAGACAUUUUCUUACUAUGGUCUUAGGAUCUCUUAUUUUAAAUAUGACAGGUUUGGAGCUUUUUAUGUUUAUGCUAAUAUGAGUAGAGAACAUUGUGAAAAAAUUUGAGAACAUAAAAUGCAUACUUCUUCCAUAUUCUUAGUCUUUUUGGCACUAUUAUAGCUGUUGGAGUGACUUAUAAUAUAAUGGUAGGCUGAAAAAUGGCUACAUAGAAGAUAUCUGUAUCAUAAUCCCUAGAAUUUAUACAUGUUACCCUAUGAUAAAGACUUUGCAGGUAUGAUAAAUUAAGGAUUUUGAGAUGGAGAGAUUAUUCUGGAUUACCUGGGUGGGCCUUAAAGCUAAUCGUAAGUAUCUUUGUAAGAGAGAGGCAGAGGUACAUUUUACACACACAGAAAAGGAGGCAGUGUGACUGUGGAGCAGAGCAUCCAUAAGAACCUUGAAGAGGCUUCUAGAACUUUGGCCUAGUGUCUCUAGAGGGAGUGUGGUCUUCCAACACCUUGAUUUGGCUCAGUGAAACUGAUUUCAGACUCUCAACCUCCAUAACUGUGAAAAAAUAAAUUUCUGUUGUUUUAAGCCACCAAUUUGUAGUAAUUUGUUACAGCAGCCCUAGGCAACGAAUAUAAAUAUGUUUUUACAUAAACUCUAAAUUUAAGUGAGAUUAUUUCAUGCCACUAGAGAAAAUUCAUGGAAAAAAUUUCUAAUGUGUGUUACAUUUCCUUUCUGUUAAAAGCUUCUCACUGCUCCAACUUUUCUGUCUACUUCCAAUCAAUUAAUUAUAAAGAUUUUACUUGUAUAGCUUCUUGAAUAAUACAGGUAGGAGAUUUUUGUUUCUCCAGAUUUAAUAAAAUGGAAUUUCUUCAUGUGUCUUUUUUUGUAAGCAUGUUUACAUUCUAGUGUGUAGAGCUGUCCAUUUAAUACUCAUAUCAAUUUUACAUUUUGUUUUUCAAAGAGCAUAUUUUGCGUAUAGUAGUCAUUGCAAGGACAAUAAGUUUUAAAUUUUGUAGUAAUGUGGUCAUCACUACAGACUUCUUAAAAUGCAUAUUUAAAUCUGAUAUAGACAGGCCUCAGGGAGAUUUCCAAAUUAUCACUGAUAAAUGGGAUUUAAAGGCUACUAUGGUAAAACUAAUUGUAUGUGAAACUAUGCAUAUUAGUUAAGACUAGCAGAUAAGAAGUUAAGCUUGAAAAAACAAAUUUAUUGAUUCAUGUAGUUGGAAAUUCAAGGAAAUGACUUGAUAUAUAAGACAUUGCUCUAUCCAGUGCUUCAAAUACUGUCAUCAGCAUCUCAAGUCUCUGUAAUAUGCCUUUGAGUAUAUGUAAGCUUCACUCUCUGGUUGGCCGUUAAGAGAUGAUGGUGGUGACCACCAGUAACCUAGGCUUAUCAAUCAUGAAAGCAUUUCUUCCCUAAAUAUUUCAGCAAAAGCUGUAGGACUCAAUCUUACUGCCUUAUGUCAUGCUUAUCCCUGAAUUAAUUACUGAGAAUUUGAUUGUUCCAGGUUAAAUCAAAUUCUUAUCUGAACUUUAGUGAUUGAGAAUGGGGGAGGUGAUUGCCUGUUGGGAAAUCCUGGUGUUAUAUAAAGGCGAUUGGAUGCCAGAGUGAUAAAAACAACAGAUCUAUCUAUUUCAGUAGUAAAACUGUCAUUUGGAAGAAUAGGAUUAAGUGGCUUAAUAAAAAUGAGUAAGUCACGUUAGAGUUUAGCAAGUCAUUGAAUUGAGUAACAAAGGUGCACUUUGAUUAUUUUAACUUUUUCCUGUUGUAUAUUAUAAAAA